ensembl:lncRNA
GUGCGCGAGCGCGCUCAGACGCCCUUCUCUACCGCUCCCCUCGGUUGGGGGUCUAGCGCAUUGCUCUUCUGCCCCCGCCUCUCCCGAGGCUCACGCCCUCGGGGUAAGUACCUCGCGCCUUGCGGGGAGGGAGGAAGAGGGUCCAGCGAAGGAAGGGAGAAGGCGGACAGGGCUGGGAAAAAGGGAAAAACCGCUCUCGAAAAGCGAGUAGCACGGCCAGCGGGUUGGAGUCUGCAGAAGACACGCCUCCAUCUCUCACGCCCCUCGGGGCUGCGGAAGUACUCUAGAGACUCGAGAGGCUCGGCGGCGACAGGUGGACUACCUUUCCCGGGAGGCGGCGCGGCGCCGCGCCUCCAGCUCCCGGCAGCACUUGCGCGUCAGGCUUUUCUCAGCUUGCCGCCGCCUGGGGCGAAACUACAGUUCCCAGGAGGCCUCGCGCGAAGCGGCUUGGAAGUGGGCAGCCUGGAAGUCACUCGGGCCACCGGAGCUGGCGGCGUCUUUAGCGAGCCGCGCGGUUCUGGACGCCUCGGUCGUGGGGCCCGCGGGGCGGGCAGCCUGGACGCCCAGAUGCACCGUCUUUGACCUUGGCUCUCAGAGGACCCUCAAGGAGCACUAGUGUCCAGAACCUACUAAGGGUGAGUGCGGAGGUUCGUUUGAUUUUGUUUGUCCAAGUUUUAUAACUCAGACACAUAAGCCUCUUUAUUGUUAUUAUUAUUAUUAUCAUUGUUAUUAUUUUUGCUUUUUUGGGCCAUACCUGCGGCACAUGGAGGUUCCCAGGCUGGGGUCAAAUCGGAGCUACAGCUGCUGGCCUACGCCAGAGCCACAGCAACGCGGGAUCCGAGCUGCGUCUGCAACCUACACCACAGCUCAGGCAACGCCGGAUCCUUAACCCACUGAGCGAGGCCUGCAGCCUCAUGGUUCCUAAUUGGAUUCUUUUCCCCUGCACCACAACGGGAACUCCUAAGCCUCUUUAUUCUUGAAAAGAAAAAAAAAGAUUUGAAAGCGUGUCAAGGGAAAGAUGGAAGUCUCCUUCGCUGUCCCAGCAGCCACAGUCUGACAUCGUCCCUCCGAGGUAAUUGCGGUCGGUAGUUGGGUGCGGGUUCUGCCAGACCUUCCUUUCCUCCUGUCCAUGAAUGACCCUCCUUAUCCGCGUACGCACUCCUUAUUUAAUUGGCUACGUGGAGAAGAAAGAAGCCCUGCUCUUUGGCUCUUCUACAGUGAUCCCCACUGUCCCCAGGGUUCGUGUAUCUUGAAGAUCUUUGGUCAUAGCCUCCAUCUGCGCAUCACACUCUUUGUUUAAAUUUUUUUUAAUUUCCGUUUUUAAAAUUCACACAGGGUGAAAUUCACUCUUUGGCAUACGGUUUUUUGAGUUUAGGCAAACGCAUGCUGUUGUGUAGCUGCCACCACAGUUAAGAUACAGAGUGGCCCCAUUGCCCCCCGUGAGGAUGUGCUUUCUGUCUGUAGGCUAGAGAUAGGGUGUGAGUGGUGACACGUGAUUAAAACAUGUGCGCACGGUAAGUACUUACCUGUGAUGGAAAGAUUUUGAAUACGUUAUAAUUACGUUUCUGGGGGUUUUGCUAGUGAGCCUCAACCAAGCAGUGGAGGGGACCUCAGGGUGUGGGGCACUCCAAGUGGUAGCGGGGUGCAACCUUUGUUGGUAGGAUAGAGCCAGAGCCUUGGGCUCUAGAGGGGGCACUUUCUGAUCUUUGAAGUGUCAAGAGACCCCAGUGGUGAGGAAAGUGGGAGCACAGAAGAUGCUGGUGGCCGUACUCUGGAUGCAUAGCGGUGGUGGCUGAGUUGCAGGGACCAGGCGGUCAAGUUUGUGAAUGGAGUGAAUCUAGACAGUACCACCUUCCUUGGCUCUUUGUUGGGUUUCUUCAUAUGCUUGGCCUCAGGCUCUGCCUGGGUACCUGGAACUUGUUGGUAGGACAGUCUUCAGGGGCCAGAUUUCCACUAAGGGAUGCGCCUUGGCGCGCUCUCCUGGAGUACUUCUUUCUUCUUGCUCCCACUAACUUCGGCUCACGCCGAGAGGGGGAAGCUUCCCUGCCACAGGUAUCACUGUGACAUUUCCCUAAUAGGGAUUUUUGUAUGUCCUUCACUUCUUUCACAUUUAUUAACUGUCCACAUAAUUAGUUCUGUAAGGGAGGACCUGUCCCUUCUCCCUCAUUUAUUUCAGUUAUUUCAUUGUUAACAUACCUGUGUGGCCUCAUAGAUACUUGUUUUAAUCUUGCACGUCCCUUUUUUAUGUGGUAGAAGCUUCCAGUUUCUGAGUGAAUUCCUAGUACUGCCUCUCAAACUGCAGGAGGACCAGCAUUGUCCUCCCAGCCCCUUCGGGCCUGGAUAGCAGGAGAACAUGCCUUGGUUUCUUUCCUUCACUCCACAAAUGAGCGUUUGAGCAC